rnacentral:lncRNA from 1 species
ACUUGGCAUCCUUCAAUACGGCAUCAUUACCUCGUCUUGAGGAACUAAGCCUGCGUGGAGUCAGAGCAGAGGUACUGAGGCAGUUCAUGUUUGUCUCUGCUUCUUCUUCAUUGAAGUCUCUGCGUAUACGGGAGAUUGAUGGUAUGAUAUCUCUCCCAGAGGAGACGCUUCAAUAUGUUUCCACUCUCGAAACUCUCUACAUUGUUAAGUGCUCUGGUUUGGCAACAUUACUACACUGGAUGGGCAGCCUUUCCUCGCUUACGGAACUUAUUAUUUAUGACUGCUCUGAAUUGACAUCACUGCCAGAAGAGAUCUAUUCCCUAAAAAAACUGCAGAAAUUUUAUUUCUGUGAUUAUCCACACCUACGGGAAAGAUACAACAAGGAAACAGGUAAAGACCGGGCCAAGAUUGCUCAUAUCCCACAUGUUCGUUUCUACCUUGAUUCCGAUAUGGAAUGGCAGGUAGGUCCGAAAUCCCUAACCUUUCUUCCCAUUUUUAUUAUUUAAGAAUCAAAAUGCUAUGUUUUCAUUUUGUCUCUGGUAGUUCUUUUAUGUUGGCACCUCAUAUGUUUGUUUAAAUGCUCACAUCAAUAACUUUUUGAAAAAUUUUCCAGAUUAACAUCAUUUGCUGAUGCUGUGCACUAAACUAAUCAUUUUACUUGGGAGUUGUACAUUCUAAGAGUUUGAGGAAAUAUUGAGGUCUGGUAUGAUAACUCUCAAUCCUUGGAACUGCAUUCAUCUCCUUCUCUUUCUCGAUUAACAAUCCAUGAUUGCCCAAACUUGGCAUCCUUCAAUGUGGCAUCAUUACCUCGUCUUGAGGAACUAAGCCUGCGUGGAGUCAGAGCAGAGGUACUGAGGCAGUUCAUGUUUGUCUCUGCUUCUUCUUCAUUGAAGUCUCUGUGUAUACGGGAGAUUGAUGGUAUGAUAUCUCCCAGAGGAGCCGCUUCAAUAUGUAUCCACUCUCGAAACUCUCUACAUUGUUAAGUGCUCUGGUUUGGCAACAUUACUACACUGGAUGGGCAGCCUUUCCUCGCUUAAGGAACUUAUGAUUUAUGAAUGCUCUGAAUUGACAUCACUGCCAGAAGAGAUCUGUUCCCUUAAAAAACUGCAGAAAUUUUAUUUCUGUGAUUAACCACACCUAGAGAAAAGAUACAACAAGGAAACAGGUAAAGACCGGGCCAAGAUUGAUCAUAUCCCACGUAUUAAUUUCCAAAGUGAUCGAGUUAU